rnacentral:rRNA from 1 species
AUUGAACGCUAGCGGCAUGCUUAACACAUGCAAGUCGAACGAGUGGCGGACGGGUGAGUAAUAUCUCGGAACGUGCCCAGUAGCGGGGGAUAACUACUGGAAACAGUGGCUAAUACCGCAUACUAUUAGAGCGGCCGAUAUGGGAUUAGCUAGUGGGUGGGGUAAAGGCUCACCUAGGCGACGAUCCGUAGCUGGUUUGAGAGGAUGACCAGCCACACUGGGACUGAGACACGGCCCAGACUCCUACGGGAGGCAGCAGUGGGGAAUUUUGGACAAUGGGGGAAACCCUGAUCCAGCCAUCCCGCGUGUAUGAGAAGGCCUUCGGGUUGUAAAGUACUUUUGGCGGAGAAGCGGUAUCUGCAGAAUAAGCACCGGCUAACUACGUGCCAGCAGCCGCGGUAAUAC